rnacentral:misc_RNA from 1 species
GUGAAUACUAUUACAUUUAAGUUUUUUUUUUUUCAUAAUUAAAGACAAAUCACUCGAAAUUUUCAUUUAAUUAGACUUAUUUCAGUUGCUAUUAUAGGCAGUUUGCUGACAGAAAAAUAUUUUACAUAUUUACUUUGUUUUAUUUGCCAUUGGUCUCACCGCUUUAUAGAACCGAUGUUCUCUUUUUCUUGUGAAAAUGGCUUUGAUGUACUAAAAUUAGAUUGAGAAGCACGGCACCCUUUGCAACUCUAAAGAAAAAUUCAAAUGGCAUGAUAAAACUUGGUGUAUCAUCCCAUUGUCAUGAUAAUUCAAAUUAGCAUGAUAAGACUCCGGGUAUCAUCUCAUUGAUCAUUCUUUCCCACUAGUUAUCCUCACACAAGUUGGGAUAGUUCUUUAUUUAAUAAUUGCAAUUACAUGAUAUUAUGUCCAUGUCAUUUAGUCUUUAAAAUAAAUCACUUUUCGCUUUUUUUUUUUCCUCAUGGUUGUCUGAUUUUGAAAAUAAAUUGUAGGGGCGCCUUCCAUGCUUAUGAUGAAAUGAUGUUUACCUGCAAGGUGCCACCCAUAGAGCGUUGAGAACUUGUGAUUCCAUAAUGCGACCUGAUGUGCGUGGCUUGGCUUAGGAGUUAGCAUGUAAAAACAAGCAUAGCCCCAGCAAUAGAGAGUCGAUGAUCCAACAGAAUUCAUCCCAGACCCAGAAAAGAAAAAAGGAAAAAAAAAUAAAUAAAAGGGGAAAACAAAUGGUGCUGUCUGCUGUGUUGAAAGAAUAAUAGAAUAGAAGAAGAGGAGAAGAAAGAGAGGAAAGAGG